rnacentral:rRNA from 1 species
UCUUCCGCAAGGGCGAAACCUUGACGGCCACAACGCCGCGUGAGUGAUGAAGGGUUUCGGCUCGUAAAACUCUGUUAUUUAGGGAAGAACAAACGUGUNAAGUAACUGUGCACGUCUUGACGGUACCUUAAUCAAAAGCCAAGGCGAGAUACGUGCCAACCAGCCGCAGAGAGAGGUAAGUGGCAAGCGUUAUCCGGAAUUUUUGGGCGUAAAGCGCGCCGUAAGCCCGUUUCUUAAGUCUGAUGUGAAAGCCCCACGGCUCAACGUGGGAGGGUCCUUUGGAAACUGGGGAGACUUUGAAUGCCAAAANAAGGAAAGUGGAAUUUCCCUUGUGUAGCGGUGAAAUGCGCAGAGAUAUGGAGGAACACCAGUGGCGAAGGCGACUUUCUGGUCUGUAACUGACGCUGAUGUGCGAAAGCGUGGGGAUCAAACAGGAUUAGAUACCCUGGUAGUCCACGCCGUAAACGAUGAGUGCUAAGUGUUAGGGGGUUUCCGCCCCUUAGUGCUGCAGCUAACGCAUUAAGCACUCCGCCUGGGGAGUACGACCGCAAGGU